CAGCUAUAUGUUGCACUGUCAAGGGGAGUGUCAAGAAAAACGACACGGAUUUUGGCCAAGCCAAACAAUGAGGUUGAUAAAUCCGGUAAAAGCACCAAAAACAUUGUCUAUCGAGAUGUUUUAGAGGGGUGAAGCAGGUUUUGUUCAUACCGAAGUAUGCAAGCAUUAAAGAGGAAUGAUGUCGAUGAAGGAUAUAAACGAGCCACUAUUGUUUCUUACAACUCACCAGAUCUGUAUAUAUAAUAUCCCCCUUAAUAUGCAUUCUUCGCUUUAUAUCUUGUAGCUGAAUGUAUUUGGCGAUGGUUUUUAAUAGCUACAGAUACACUUUAUUUGUGUUCCUUCUUUUUGUAGCCAAGAUAAGAACUUAACAAA